ensembl:lncRNA
GGCGCGGGGAUCCCUGCGGCCCCACCCGGAGGUGUCCGUCUCUUUCCCCCCCCCCGCCCCGACUUCGCGUCGUUACCGUCGCUGUGAGUGCUGCCCGCUCGUUGCCGCGGAGCUGAGGCUUUGUGCGAAGCGCCCCUUCCUUUUCAUCCUUCCGAACGGGGCCGGCGGGGCUCGGUGUGCGCGGCCGGCAGCGCUGCUCGGUAACGCGGGGUUGGGUCGGUGCGGUUUGUUCUGUCCCUUCCCUGUGCUUCAUCCCCAUGGGAAAUUCCUAAUACUGACUUUAUUUCAGAGCUUCCCCCGUGCUGGAGUGUGAGAGUAGGGGAGGGCGAGCGUGUGCGUCUGCCCUGCUGUGGGCUUCUCCUUUUCCUCUUUCACACUUUUUUUUCUUUCUUUUUUUUUUUCCUCCUUUUUUUUCUUUCUUUUCCCCGUUUAUUUAUUGAUAUAUUUCUGUUAUAGCCUCUGUAAAGAGGGGUUAAGCUGCACUUUUAAGUCAUCCCCCCCCAUCUCUGGGUGCAUCUAUCCCGGGGUGGGGGGGGGCUGUGCUUUCCCUGUGCUUUUUACGGCCCCAGGAGCUGCAUUGCAUUCAUGCACUCCUGCACGUUCCUCUCCCCGCAUUAUUGGGGGACUCGCUCCAGGUGAUGCGUGCAGGUCCUCGUUCCAGCGCUGCGGUGCAAAUUCUGGGGGGAUGCUCUUUGGAUUUGGGGCUCUCGGUGCAGCAGGUCGCGUCUUGGUGUGGAGCUCUGUGUUUUCCCCUAACUGUGCCCACCCAGCCCCUUGGCACUGAAGUCCCACGCCCUUCUCAGCGCUCUGUGUCGCUUUCCAGCUCCUGCACAGCAGCGGUCGGAGGCACCGGCAGGAGGAGCUGCACCCCACGGCCAGGAGAAGGGCAGCUGCUUGAAGAGACAGAAGAACGGAGCCUCCCCAGGUGCAGCGCCGCUGCAGGACCAGGGCUGAAGUGCAUUGGGCUGCUCUGCUGCACCCCGGGCGGGUUUCCCUGCGGCUGCUGGCUCUUUGCAGCACAGCAGUUGCACUUUGCAGACCUGAACCUGCUGCCGUCAGCACUGAGGACACUGAAGUGUUGCAGGCUGAUAGCACCUGGGAAGGAAAAAAAAAAAAAAAACCACCACCACCACCAAAAUCCUGAGGCGGGCUGCAAUUAA